AGGCACUGUUAAUAAUACAGCUGAAAUGUUCUGUUGCUUAAAGCGAUUGGUGCAUAACUGUCUCUGUCUACCAUAAUUCCAUACGAAGACAGAGACACAUGUUCUCAAACAU
rnacentral:snoRNA from 1 species